AGCAAAUGGAAUCAAAGGUGCAAUAUCCGAAUUGGAAGAGGAUAACAAGUAUCCAAGAAUUAAACCUUUUCGAAAUUUUUUGCUACUCUCAACAAAGGCGAUGAUCAAACAAAGAAAUAGGAGGUAACAUAAUCUCCGAGUAUGACCAAUGGUUAGAAGACAAUGAAAGAAAUAAAGAAAAGAACACCCAAUAAAAAUAAUCAGUUACAUUGCUCGAAACGUUGAUGACAAUUAAAUGUGACAAUUGGAAACCUUCAACCUUAUAUAACCUGUCGAUUUGUUGAUUGUUGGUCAUUGGAAAGGCCAAAGUGAAAUUUAAACAUAAUUAACUUCCGUAUCCAACCCUUUUCAGCGAUUAACUGUGUGUGUGUAUCUUAAUCGGAAUAAGUUAAUUGAUAAUUCAAUUAGUUAAUUUAGUUAGUGACACAUUCUCAUUAGACCGAUUUAGUUUUCCGUUCCCGUUAAUCAUCAGAAAAAUUUAUUCAUACAACUAAAUGAUUAGAUUAAUUUAGUUUAUCUUUUCCUAUCUCUCUUUUUGUUAAAUUUUUCUUUCUAAUUAUUAAUUAUUAUUUGUGGUUGGCCGCUAAUCGUUUACAAUUUGUACCCUUAAUUAAUUACUGUUAAUCAUUUUGUUCAGUGAUCACUUGAGGGGGAUUUUCAAUUGUGCUUUUUAAUCACAAUUUAACAAUCUAUUUAACCAUUUCUUCAGUUUUCUAUCUCUCAUUUCGUUUCAGAUCAAUUCUUUAAUUUCUCAAACUAAUUGAAAUUUAAUUUUAAUUGUGUUUAAAUUAUUGACUUUCUGUUUCUAUUACUAAUUAACAAUUGCUACUAUUUUGUCAUCUAAUUUGUUUUUAAUUACAAUUUAGCAACAACAAUUUAUCACUUGGAAACACAUACACAACCAUCAACAUCUAAGAAAAGCUGUUUCAUGAUUAAGGGUAACAAUUAAAAUUGAAGGAUAAGAUAAAUCGUGUUAAAUAAUUAUGAGCUGAUUAUGAUUAUCAUCAUUGUACUAAUUGCCAGAGAAAGAGAGAGAAAAGUUAAUUGUAGUAUUAAUAAUUUUCCAAAUCAUAUCGGAUCAUAUUCUUGACUGUGUGUGUGUGAGUAUCA